UUGUGUUAUCUUGCUGGAAGAGAGGCCCAACUCGGUGUUUUUUCGCCCACCAAGCAAGGAGUGUUUGUAUGGAGGUCAAUGAGUGUCGAAUUUGGUCAACAGCAAAAAAUGAUAGUUUAUUUGCUACGUGAGGAUUAUUUAAUCGAAUAGAAGUUUCGUAAUGCGUAAGUUGUUACGAGUGUAAUAUAAGUAGGACAUGUGACAUCGCGGCAACUCACUAGCGGUUCUGGGGGGGGGGCAGUGCCCCAGUGACAACAAGCUUGGACCCUAAAUGCGGGGUCUGAAAUAAUUAUCACAGAAUUCCUUUUUGCGAUAAUGUUUUGAAGUGGAUGUUUUUUACAUCCGUUAUUAGACAGGCAAAACGGAACACUAAAGUAACCCAACACAUUUUCUAGUGGGACUCCUUUUAGGCGGAACACAACAGUAUCGUACGACGUGGACCUGCUAGUUUUUUUUCUAUUCAGAAGUUGAAAGAAAUUCUGCAAGAAGAAUGAAAUAAAGAGAGAUAUCAGCAAAUCCUGGGAGGAGCCACCGGUGCAGCCAGUAAUGAACAUGACCCAAGAACACUGAUGGGGGACAGGAGUAGCAGCUUGUAGUCUGGCUAUGAGGUAAAUGGGUGAAGGACAUUCUGUACGUGGCUCAUAGAAGAGGAGAGAAGAAGCAAGACGGAGUUCCUCUGGAGAUGGGAGAAGCUUCCAGAAG